rnacentral:rRNA from 1 species
GGAUGGACCUGCGGUGCAUUAGCUAGUUGGUAAGGCAACGGGCUUACCAAGGCAAUGAUGCAUAGCCCGAGUUGAGAGACUGAUCGGCCACAUUGGGGACUGAGACACGGGCCCAAACUCCUACGGGAGGCAGCAGUAGGGAAUCUUCCACAAUGGACGCAAGUCUGAUGGAGCAAACGCCGCGUGAGUGAAGAAGGGUUUCGGCUCGUAAAAAGCUCUGUUGGUAGUGAAGAAAGAUAGAGGUAGUAACUGGCCCUUUAUUUGACGGUAAUUACUUAGAAAGUCACGGGCUAACUACGUGCCCAGCAGCCGCGGUAAAU